rnacentral:snRNA from 10 species
CUUUGGCAGCACAUACUACUACAAAUUAGAAUGAUACAGAGUAGAUUAGAUGGCCCUUGUGCAAGAUGCUGACAUGCAAAUUCAUUAUGAUUCCAUAUUUUC